GUAUAAAAUUGUCACAUAUUUUUUAUAACUUUUUUUUUACAAUUAUUUAUAAAAUUUAUUUAUUUUUAUGUUUCUUGCUAUUGACAUACGUAUAAAAACAUACUCUGACAGCCUCCCGUAGUUCAUAUUUUGACUGGCGCUGCAGUCACACUCAUAGCGAAUACAUAGUGCGUAAUAUACUAUCUUACAUGUACUUAUAUAAACUUAUUUAUAUAUAACACUUAUUAUUUGCGGCUGCGGCCGGCUUACAUAUUCAUGUACCUGUAUUUACCUGGCUUUAAAUUCAGCACAGCGACCUAGGGAAACCGCAGAAAACCUGGUCGAGGCUUUUAAGGUAUUAUCUGCUCAAUAAAUUAUAUCAGAUGCGGAA